rnacentral:rRNA from 1 species
GACGAACGCUGGCGGCGCGCUUAACACAUGCAAGUCGAACGGAAAGGCCUGCUUUCCCUUGUGGAUUGCGGGUACUCGAGUGGCGAACGGGUGAGUAACACGUGAGUGAUCUGCCCCCAACUUGGGUAUAAGCCUGGGAAACUGGGUCUAAUUCCCGAUAGGACUGCAGGGUGGUGCCUGUGGUGGAAAACGAUUUUCUAGUGGUUGGGGAUGAGCUCGCGGCCUAUCAGCUUGUUGGUGGGGUAAUGGCCUACCAAGGCGGCGACGGGUAGCCGGCCUGAGAGGGUGGACGGCCACAUUGGGACUGAGAUACGGCCCAGACGCCUACGGGAGGCAGCAGUGGGGAAUAUUGCACAAUGGGCGGAAGCCUGAUGCAGCGACGCCGCGUGGGGGAUGACGGCCUUCGGGUUGUAAACUCCUUUCGACCGGGAGGAAGCCACCUGGUUGGAAGGGUGGUGACGGUAGUGGUAGAAGAAGCACCGGCUAACUACGUG